AUUGAACGCUGGCGGCAUGCCUUACACAUGCAAGUCGAACGGCAGCACGGGAGCAAUCCUGGUGGCGAGUGGCGAACGGGUGAGUAAUAUAUCGGAACGUGCCCAGUCGUGGGGGAUAACGUAGCGAAAGCUACGCUAAUACCGCAUACGAUCUAUGGAUGAAAGCGGGGGAUCGCAAGACCUCGCGCGAUUGGAGCGGCCGAUAUCAGAUUAGGUAGUUGGUGAGGUAAAGGCUCACCCAAGCCCGACGAUCUGUAGCUGGUCUGAGAGGACGACCAGCCACACUGGGACUGAGACACGGCCCAGACUCCUACGGAGGCAGCAGUGGGAAUUUGGACAAUGGCGCAAGCCUGAUCCAGCAAUGCCGCGUGCAGGAUCGAAGG
rnacentral:rRNA from 1 species